UAUAAAUCGAGCGAUUACAUUAAUAUAUCCGCUAAUUAAAAUCUUGCUGUAAAGAGAUCGAUGAAUUGACACGAUGUUAUCUGUCGCAUCUGUUGACGCGACGAAAGGUGAGUAUAAUUGGCGGAAGUGCCGUAAUGCUAUCGCACUUCCGGAACUGGGUGACGAAUCUGGGUCAUGCGAGAUAGAGAAGCAGAAGAAUUCAUCGUCAAGUGCAUCCACGUUGCAAAUGCAUUUCGAGGCGAGGGCAAGGAGGGAAUCCGUAGGCAGGACGAACGCGGAGGGAGUGAGAUAGCCGAGGAUGGCGAGAGAGCGAGGAGUCGGCGGAGUAGAGACCCCGGCAAGAUAGAGGAGCCGGUGGGAGGAUGGCGGUUAGAAUUUAUGGCCGCUUUAUCACUUUACCGGCCUUGCCGCGUCUCCUUUAGCCCGUGAGGAGGGCAGGAUCUCACGAUGAACUUUGGCACUCGACUACGCUGCACUCGACGAGCGGUGUUUUAGGAAGUUUGGGUCCGGGUCCACGUCGCCGAUGUAUAGAAAGGCUAAAUGCAAAACCUUGUAAGGGGAGAGACUCGCGUACUCCGAGAAACUAACAAAACAUCCUCGCAAUUAGCCGGAUGUCCCGAUGACAUCAACGGGGCAUCCCCCGGGACCGCCAACCGUGCUACGUAGCCUCGCGACAGAAAUUUCGCCGCUGCGCCACACCGCCGACUUCGGUCCCCUACCGCUCUCUACCAGUUGUGUUGCUCCUACCAAGCGACCAUCCGCGACCUCUCAACGGGAUUCUAGGUGACGACUGUAGCUGUUGCUCACCGGCUACACAGAUAUGCUAAAUAAUAAAAACUUAUCGGAUUUAUGUCGUCCAGAAUUGGACACGGGGCAAGGGACGGCAAGGAAGAUGCACGCGGCGAGAACGGUGCGCGCCGAGAUUCAAAUUAUCUGUUAUGGAUCUACUAUGGAUUUCAACAAAAUGGUUACAUCGGCUUAUCCAAUGGAUGCUCUUUCAUCACAUAUAUCAUCACAUACAUUCAUCGUAUUAUACAAAUCAAUGAAUACGAAUAAUGAAGAUCUAUGGUGAUAUUAUUUACGAUUUACUAACAAUAAGUGAAUAGACGACAAUUUAAAAUGAGUGAGGAUACAAAAUUUGAUAUAAAGAGUUAAUAAUCUGUAUGAAAAUGCAAUAGAAGUUUACCACUUGUGGCACCAGUAAAAUGUAUAUUAUAACUACAAAGGCGAGAUUUUUAUUAUCUACGGAAAUAUUAGAGAAUGU